rnacentral:lncRNA from 10 species
CUUAGACCUAGAAAAGAAUCGUGACGGGCAGGAAACCAUUACACCACCACCUGGGCUGUGCUCUCCGGCUCCCGCCGCCACCCCCGCCCUCGCCUUCGCCUCCGCCUCCGGUGCACAUUAAAGAUCCAAAGUCAUGACUGACUCCAAGUAUUUCACAACCAAUAAAAAAGGUAAGUAUGAGAAUACAAUCAAAUCUUUUGAAAUUUUCAAAAGUUGUAGUGUAAGAUUGCCCCAGGCAGAAUGCUGCUGACCUCUUCCUUCAGACAUACAUGUAGCUGACAAUCUCACUGGACAUCUACUACUUCUAUAGAUGAAUGUAUUCAAGCAAGUUAUUAAAGAGUAGGUUUUAAAAGAGAGGGCUGUGAUGCACAUUAUUAUGACUUGAAGGUUCUGUUUAGUGAAAGAGACUCCUCUUUGCUGUUUGAGAUGAUCCAUUGGAGAUUGGUUAAGUGUGAGGAGGACAAAAGAAGCAGCAUACUUUUUCCCUUUUAUUAAAUAAUUUUUACUUGGAAAUAAACAUUUUAUAACAAAGAAUACAAUUAAAGCAAUACAGAUAUGUAUGUAAAAGGUAAAAAUGAAAGUUCUCCCUUCCUGUUCCUAUUCCCAAGGGAACUUGGUGUAUAUCCUCAAGUCUUUUUCUCUGCAUAUGAGUGCAUAUAUUAAUACAUAUGAUUUAAAAUUUUUUUAUCUUUAAUGAAAAAGCAAUCUUG